ACUCCUACGGGAGGCAGCAGUAGGGAAUCUUCCGCAAUGGACGAAAGUCUGACGGAGCAACGCCGCGUGAGUGACGAAGGCCUUCGGGUCGUAAAGCUCUGUUGUUAGGGAAGAACAAGUACCGUUCGAAUAGGGCGGUACCUUGACGGUACCUAACCAGAAAGCCACGGCUAACUACGUGCCAGCAGCCGCGGUAAUACGUAGGUGGCAAGCGUUGUCCGGAAUUAUUGGGCGUAAAGCGCGCGCAGGCGGUCUUUUAAGUCUGAUGUGAAAGCCCACGGCUCAACCGUGGAGGGUCAUUGGAAACUGGAGGACUUGAGUGCAG
rnacentral:rRNA from 1 species